UGGGGAAUAUUGGACAAUGGGGGCAACCCUGAUCCAGCCAUGCCGCGUGUGUGAAGAAGGCCUUUUGGUUGUAAAGCACUUUAAGCAGUGAAGAAGACUCCAUGGUUAAUACCCAUGGACGAUGACAUUAGCUGCAGAAUAAGCACCGGCUAACUCUGUGCCAGCAGCCGCGGUAAUACAGAGGGUGCAAGCGUUAAUCGGAAUUACUGGGCGUAAAGCGAGCGUAGGUGGCGUGAUAAGGCAGAUGUGAAAGCCCCGGGCUUAACCUGGGAACGGCAUCUGAUACUGUUAGGCUAGAGUAGGUGAGAGGAAGGUAGAAUUCCAGGUGUAGCGGUGAAAUGCGUAGAGAUCUGGAGGAAUACCGAUGGCGAAGGCAGCCUUCUGGCAUCAUACUGACACUGAGGUUCGAAAGCGUGGGUAGCAAACA
rnacentral:rRNA from 1 species